rnacentral:rRNA from 1 species
AACGAACGCUGGCGGCAGGCCUAACACAUGCAAGUCGAGCGCGCCCUUCGGGGUGAGCGGCGGACGGGUGAGUAACGCGUGGGAACGUGCCCUUUUCUACGGAAUAGCCUCGGGAAACUGAGAGUAAUACCGUAUACGCCCUUUGGGGGAAAGAUUUAUCGGAAAAGGAUCGGCCCGCGUUGGAUUAGGUAGUUGGUGGGGUAAUGGCCUACCAAGCCGACGAUCCAUAGCUGGUUUGAGAGGAUGAUCAGCCACACUGGGACUGAGACACGGCCCAGACUCCUACGGGAGGCAGCAGUGGGGAAUCUUAGAAAAUGGGGGCAACCCUGAUCUAGCCAUGCCGGGUGAGUGAUGAAGGCCUUAGGGUUGUAAAGCUCUUUCAGCUGGGAAGAUAAUGACGGUACCAGCAGAAGAAGCCCCGGCUAACUCCGUG